rnacentral:rRNA from 1 species
AACGAACGCUGGCGGCAUGCCUAACACAUGCAAGUCGAACGAGACCUUCGGGUCUAGUGGCGUACGGGUGCGUAACGCGUGGGAACCUGCCCUUAGGUUCGGAAUAACUCCCCGAAAGGUGUGCUAAUACCGGAUAAUGUCUUCGGACCAAAGAUUUAUCGCCUUUGGAUGGGCCCGCGUUGGAUUAGCUAGUUGGUAGGGUAAAAGCCUACCAAGGCGACGAUCCAUAGCUGGUCUGAGAGGAUGAUCAGCCACACUGGGACUGAGACACGGCCCAGACUCCUACGGGAGGCAGCAGUGGGGAAUAUUGGACAAUGGGCGAAAGCCUGAUCCAGCCAUGCCGCGUGAGUGAUGAAGGCCUUAGGGUUGUAAAGCUCUUUUACCCGGGAUGAUAAUGACAGUACCGGGAGAAUAAGCUCCGGCUAACUCCGUG